GAGCUUCGCAUGGAGAGUCUGACCGAGCACGCCGCGUGAGUGAGAAGGUUUUCGGAUCGUAAAACUCUGUUGUUAGAGAAGAACAAGGGUGAGAGUAAAUCGUUCCUCCCUUGCCGGUCUCUAACCGAAAGCCCCCGGCUAACUACGUGCCGCCGCCCGCGGUAUU
rnacentral:rRNA from 1 species